CCAAUAGCGUAUAUUAAAGUUGUUGCAGUUAAAAAGCUCGUAGUUGAAUUUCGGGAUCAGUAUGUUGGUCGUGCUUCGGUACGUACUGUCAUUACUGGUUUCUACCUUCUGAAGAACCAUGAUGUCAUUAAUUUGGUGUCAUGGGGAAUCAGGACUGUUACUUUGAAAAAAUUAGAGUGUUUAAAGCAGGCUCGCGCUUGAAUACAUUAGCAUGGAAUAAUGAAAUAGGACGUUUGAUUCUAUUUUGUUGGUUUCUAGGAUCGACGUAAUGAUUAAUAGGGAUAGUUGGGGGCAUUAGUAUUCAAUUGUCAGAGGUGAAAUUCUUGGAUUUAUUGAAGACUAACUACUGCGAAAGCAUUUGCCAAGGAUGUUUUCAUUAAUCAAGAACGAAAGUUAGGGGAUCGAAAACGAUCAGAUACCGUCGUAGUCUUAACCAUAAACUAUGCCGACUAGGGAUCGGAUGAUGUUAUUUUUAAUGACUCAUUCGGCGCCUUACG
rnacentral:rRNA from 1 species